rnacentral:rRNA from 1 species
UACAGAGACUGCAAGCGUUAUUCGGAUUCACUGGGCGUAAAGGGUGCGCAGGCGGCUAUGUGUGUCAGGUGUGAAAGCCCGAGGCUUAACCUCGGAAUUGCGCCUGAAACUACAUGGCUAGAGUAUUGGAGAGGGUAGCGGAAUUCACGGUGUAGCAGUGAAAUGCGUAGAUAUCGUGAGGAACACCAGAGGCGAAGGCGGCUACCUGGACAAUUACUGACGCUCAGGCACGAAAGCGUGGGGAGCAAAAGGG